CGUAGUUGUUUUUCAGAUCCUUGUCAACUAAAAACUCAAGCUUGUUUUCCUGAUGAAUCUUCUUUACCCAGUCAAGUAUAGCUCCUUUCCUGUUUGCUGACUUCCCAAAAUCCAUAGCUCGUAAGCCAGAUAUUAAUUCAAGUAAAAGAAUUCCAAACCCAAAAACAUCUGUUUUCUCAGAGGAUUGACCUGUUGAGAGAUACUCCGGGGCUAUGUGUCCCAUAGUACCUCUCAC
rnacentral:misc_RNA from 1 species